rnacentral:rRNA from 1 species
UGAGCAAUCUGCCCUUCACAUCGGAAAUAAACCAUUGGAAACGAUGGCUAAUACCGAAUAUGACUUCGGAUCGCAUGAUCUGAAGUGGAAAGCUCCGGCGGUGAAGGAUGAGCUCGCGGCCUAUCAGCUUGUUGGUGAGGUAAUAGCUCACCAAGGCGACGACGGGUAGCCGGCCUGAGAGGGUGACCGGUCACACGUGGGACUGAGACACGGCCCAGACUCCG